rnacentral:rRNA from 1 species
UACCAGCACCCCGAGUGGUCGGGGCGAUUAUUGGGCCUAAAGCAUCCGUAGCCGGUUCUACAAGUCUUCCGUUAAAUCCACCUGCUCAACAGUUGGGCUGCGGAGGAUACUAUAGAGCUAGGAGGCGGGAGAGGCAAGCGGUACUUAGUGGGUAGGGGUAAAAUCCGUUGAUCCAUUGAAGACCACCAGUGGCGAAGGCGGCUUGCCAGAACGCACUCGACGGUGAGGGAUGAAAGCUGGGGGAGCAAACCGG